rnacentral:rRNA from 1 species
AGCCCUAAGUGGGUGGUAAACUCCAUCUAAGGCUAAAUAUGACCACGAGACCGAUAGCGAACAAGUACCGUGAGGGAAAGUUGAAAAGCACUUUGAAGAGAGAGUUCAAAAGUACGUGAAACCGUUUAGGGGUAAACCUGAGAAACCCGAAAGGUCGAAGGGAGAAAUUCAUUCGCGUUUCGCAGUCGGCGUUAGACGGUCGAGUGCGACGGUGGACUCGUUCGCGUGUCCGCCGCGCCUUCCGUUUUUCGAUCCGAAAGCGAACGUGUGCACUUUUCUCCUGGUAGGACGUCGCGAUUCGUUGAGUGUCGGUUUACGGCUCGCGGUGGAGCCCGAUCGUACGGUGUCAAAAACCGUCUCACGAUCGGACCCGCGUGCAACCCGACUGACUCGCUCGACGAUAUUCGUAUGGUUUGAGGCCGCUUUUGUUAGCGUUCGACUCGUGGCAAGCGCGCCGGAUGAGUCGGCGAUCGGACCUGGUGCCGAUUCUGACCUCCGGUGACUGUUGGCCGCGAAAUUCUCGAACAGACCUUCUUAACCGAUCUGCGACGCUAUAGCUUUGGGUACUUUCAG